GAUGAACGCUGGCGGCGUGCCUAAUACAUGCAAGUCGAGCGAACGGACGAGAAGCUUGCUUUUCUGAUGUUAGCGGCGGACGGGUGAGUAACACGUGGAUAACCUACCUAUAAGACUGGGAUAACUUCGGGAAACCGGAGCUAAUACCGGAUAAUAUUUUGAACCGCAUGGUUCAAAAGUGAAAGACGGUCUUGCUGUCACUUAUAGAUGGAUCCGCGCUGCAUUAGCUAGUUGGUAAGGUAACGGCUUACCAAGGCAACGAUGCAUAGCCGACCUGAGAGGGUGAUCGGCCACACUGGAACUGAGACACGGUCCAGACUCCUACGGGAGGCAGCAGUAGGGAAUCUUCCGCAAUGGGCGAAAGCCUGACGGAGCAACGCCGCGUGAGUGAUGAAGGUCUUCGGAUCGUAAAACUCUGUUAUUAGGGAAGAACAUAUGUGUAAGUAACUGUGCACAUCUUGACGGUACCUAAUCAGAAAGCCACGGCUAACUACGUGCCAGCAGCCGCGGUAAUACGUAGGUGGCAAGCGUUAUCCGGAAUUAUUGGGCGUAAAGCGCGCGUAGGCGGUUUUUUAAGUCUGAUGUGAAAGCCCACGGCUCAACCGUGGAGGGUCAUUGGAAACUGGAAAACUUGAGUGCAGAAGAGGAAAGUGGAAUUCCAUGUGUAGCGGUGAAAUGCGCAGAGAUGUGGAGGAACACCAGUGGCGAAGGCGACUUUCUGGUCUGUAACUGACGCUGAUGUGCGAAAGCGUGGGGAUCAAACAGGAUUAGAUACCCUGGUAGUCCACGCCGUAAACGAUGAGUGCUAAGUGUUAGGGGGUUUCCGCCCCUUAGUGCUGCAGCUAACGCAUUAAGCACUCCGCCUGGGGAGUACGACCGCAAGGUUGAAACUCAAAGGAAUUGACGGGGGCCCGCACAAGCGGUGGAGCAUGUGGUUUAAUUCGAAGCAACGCGAAGAACCUUACCAAAUCUUGACAUCCUUUGACAACUCUAGAGAUAGAGCCUUCCCCUUCGGGGGACAAAGUGACAGGUGGUGCAUGGUUGUCGUCAGCUCGUGUCGUGAGAUGUUGGGUUAAGUCCCGCAACGAGCGCAACCCUUAAGCUUAGUUGCCAUCAUUAAGUUGGGCACUCUAAGUUGACUGCCGGUGACAAACCGGAGGAAGGUGGGGAUGACGUCAAAUCAUCAUGCCCCUUAUGAUUUGGGCUACACACGUGCUACAAUGGACAAUACAAAGGGCAGCGAAACCGCGAGGUCAAGCAAAUCCCAUAAAGUUGUUCUCAGUUCGGAUUGUAGUCUGCAACUCGACUACAUGAGGCUGGAAUCGCUAGUAAUCGUAGAUCGGCAUGCUACGGUGAAUACGUUCCCGGGUCU
rnacentral:rRNA from 1 species